UGUAGGGUACGGAAACAACAACUGACAGAUAGAAAGCAGGACAAUAUACAGGCGAGCCACUGGUCUUUGAUCUAAGAGAACUCACUUGCCAUAGAUGGAAGUACAAAUUAUCACAGCGGUAUGGCAAGGUCACGGCCAAAGACAUAACGCUCCGACUUGUGCUUAACCAUCCGGAGCCGAGCCUCCCCAUGCUUUAACACUUCGACGCCCUCAAGAACAGCAAGAUUCUUUCUUUCCUCAAGGGCAUGGCCAGACAUAUCCUCAAUGCUCUCCUCUGGCCUAGUAAGAAAGAACCUGGCAAUGCAGACUUUACCGGAUCCUAGCGGCACAAUGCUGGCAUCUCUCAGUCUCCAAUCUUCUGGCCUGUUCACAUCUGUCCACACAUUCUGCAGCAUGGGCGGCCACAAUUCACAUGAGGUAGUGAGGUCUGCUGUGCAGAGCUGCAAAUCGUUGGGUGUGAAGCCAAACCAGAGGUUGUGCUCAGGGAUGUACUCAGCACGACCUCUGAAGGGCAAUGCCCAGUUGCCUACUUUGCUCCAUGCGUCACUCACGGUGUCAUACAAGUAUGUGCCAGCGGCAAAUGUAGAUAUCCAGAUCUGUGAAUCGCCAACCACAGUGUAGGCGCUGAUUUUAAAGGGCAUUAAGACGUCGCAGCCGCUGGAUUCCACUUCCACCCCAUCGGCAAAGAGAGGCGGUGGCUGGAGGGAAUACCAGCACCAGUUUUUGGUGUUGCUAGCACUAGAAAGCGGGCGGCUGUCGAUGAGAGCCUGGAAGCAGUGCUGAUCCGGCCGCGGGCCAGGGUUGCGGCUCAUGACGUAUAGGCUGUCGCCCACGGCAAUGGAGAUGGGGUCGAUAAUGGGCCUGCACAUCUUGGGCAUUCNNNNNNNNNNNNNNNNNGCAUUCCUGUGCGGAGCAAACGAGAGUCAUGGUUGUACAAGAUGGUCCUACCGAUUUGGUCCACGGCGAGAAGAUUGUCCCGGUUGAGGCCGAAAGCCAUGAAAUUCAUCCACGCCAGUUCCCCAUUGUUGGAUGGCCAGCCGAAUGACAGAGAUGGGGGAGGCAGCGGAGCGUCCGCUAACGGUUGAACUGCUCGAACCGCUGACCGGGUUGGGCGAAAUAAGUUUUCCGGAUUCAUACAGUGAAGGCUGAAGUAGCUGGGGCCGCCGUAGCUCCUAGCCAACAGAUUCACAAACCGGCUAC
rnacentral:lncRNA from 1 species